rnacentral:rRNA from 1 species
AAUCAACGCUGGCGGCGUGCCUCAGACAUGCAAGUCGAACGCGAAAUUUCCCUUCGGGGAGAAAGUAGAGUGGCGCACGGGUGAGUAACACGUAGGUAAUUUGCCUUUGGGUGGGGAAUAACAGCCGGAAACGGCUGCUAAUACCGCAUAAUGCAGCGGCUCGACAUCGAGACAGUUGUUAAAGCGGGGGGAUCUCGCAAGAGGCCUCGCGCCUAAAGAGAAGCCUGCGGCAGAUUAGCUAGUUGGUAAGGUAAUGGCUUACCAAGGCGACGAUCUGUAACCGGCCUGAGAGGGCGGUCGGUCACACUGACACUGACAUACGGGUCAGACUCCUACGGGAGGCAGCAGUCGGGAA